rnacentral:lncRNA from 1 species
CUACUUCUCAGACUUGCAGAUGCUGAGCUUGCCAGACCCAGACUCCUGAAUGUCCAUGGUCAGAGCUUGUGAACUUCGUCUUUACAAAAUGCAUCAAGAAAUGCCAGGAUGGGUGCAUAUAACCAUAGACUGCACUUUCUAUGGGCAAACUUGUCAUCUGAAAUCUGUGCUACGUAUGUAUUUAAAAAACAUACAGGUAGCAUUGCUCAGAUCUGAGAUGUCAAUUUUGGAGCUAACAUCUGUUUGUGGGCUGUUUGUGGUGCUCCUGUCUCAGGCAUGAAGCUGUGGGCUUGUGCCUCCUGAAGCCUGCCACUUUUCUGUGGUCAUUUGGAGAUGAUUAGUGCCAUCGUCCCCCUGUGCCCUCCUCUGUAGACUGGCACCUCGUUGUUGAUACUAAAUGAACCAAGAGAGUUGUCUUCAACCUGGUGGUUAAUGUGGGAGGAGGAUUUGCAGGAAUAAUACCCGGACUCCAAUUAAAAUUUACUUGAAAGAUUAUUAUAAACAUGUUCAGGAGAGGCUAUGUAUAUUAAUCUUUGAGAAAGCAGCUUAUUUGGAGACAGCUAAAGACUGACUUGUGUUUCAGCUCUCUUUAGUACUCAAGCAAGGGUUCAUAAGUCCACUUACACUUGCAUUUCAAAGGAUUUUUUUUCAGCUUCCCUUCACAGAGCCACAGGACAAGAAGGAGGGGAUGUUAGAAAAUAGUGUCUUUAAGAAUAAUGGUGCAGAAAUAAAUGUACUCAGAAAAAUUAUGGAGGAGGUCUG